rnacentral:rRNA from 1 species
ACCCUGGGAAACUGGGGAUAAUACUGGAUAGGCAAUUUUUCCUGUAAUGGUUUUUUGUUUAAAUGUUUUUUCGCCUAAGGAUGGGUCUGCGGCCGAUUAGGUAGUUGGUUAGGUAAUGGCUUACCAAGCCGUUGAUCGGUACGGGUUGUGAGAGCAAGAGCCCGGAGAUGGAACCUGAGACAAGGUUCCAGGCCCUACGGGGUGCAGCAGGCGCGAAACCUCCGCAAUGUGAGAAAUCGCGACGGGGGGAUCCCAAGUGCCAUUCUUAACGGGAUGGCUUUUCA